CCGCGCUGAGAGUCAAACCGGUUCAGCUCACUUCCUCAUAACUGUUUGUCGCAGCGUGGAGCCUUUCUUUCUCCGCUUUUUAAACCUUUCACCUGAUUAACUUUUAUAAGGAUAAAGGUUAAAGUGUUUUAUAAACACUAUAACCUCAGUUUCUUACCUUACAUUUAUACUUUUAUUAGGCUACUUUAUACCGUAUGGACGCAUUUUAAUCACGGAAGAGAUACGAUAAGGUCUCCAGUCUACUAUGGAUGAGGAGAGAGAGGAGGGGGGUCCUACCUCUAAGACCACCCUGUCUGGGGAACAUGGCCGCCGGAGCAAAGCUAAGAGCCCAGAGCAGAGAGCAGACUCCCCUGGACCCAGCUGUGUCUCCAUGAAGAGUGACAGCUCUAUGGAACAACCUCAUAACUUUAAAGAUGGAAAUCAGUCUAUUGAGAAGAGAAGAGUCCAGCAGGAGAGAGCAGACUCCCCUGGACCCAGCUGUGUCUCCAUGAAGAGUGGCUGGUCUAUGGAUAUACCAUUGGUGUUUAAAGAUGGACGCCCCCCCAGAGAGGAGAGCCCAGAGCAGCAGCAGAAAGCAGACUCCCCUGGACCCAGCUGUGUCUCCAU